GAUGAAGAACGCAGCGAAAUGCGAUACGUAAUGUGAAUUGCAGAAUUCAGUGAAUCAUCGAAUCUUUGAACGCAUAUUGCGCUCUUUGGUAUUCCGAAGAGCAUGCUUGUUUGAGUAUCAGUAAACACCUCAACCUCUUCUUGAUUUUUCAAAAGGAGGGUGGACUUGAGCUAUCCCAACAACCUUUACCGGUCGGCGGGCGGCUUGAAAUGCAGGUGCAGCUGGACUUUUAUCUGAGCUAAAAGCAUAUCUAUUUAGUCCUCGUCAAACAGGAUUAUUACUUUUGCUGCAGCUAACAUAAAGGAUAAUUGUCCUCUUUGCUGACUGAUGCAGGAUCUUACGACACUUUAUGUGUUGUUCAACUCGAUCUCAAAUCAAGUAAGACUACCCGCUGAACUUAAGCAUAUCAAUAAGCGGAGGA
rnacentral:misc_RNA from 1 species